UACGUAGGGUGCAAGCGUUGUCCGGAAUUAUUGGGCGUAAAGAGCUCGUAGGCGGUCUGUCGCGUCGGCUGUGAAAUCCCGGAGCUCAACUCCGGGCCUGCAGUCGAUACGGGCAGACUGGAGUUCGGCAGGGGAGACUGGAAUUCCUGGUGUAGCGGUGAAAUGCGCAGAUAUCAGGAGGAACACCGGUGGCGAAGGCGGGUCUCUGGGCCGAUACUGACGCUGAGGAGCGAAAGCGUGGGGGAGCGAACAGG
rnacentral:rRNA from 1 species